CAGCAGCAGCCACGGUAAUACGAAGGGGGCUAGCGUUGUUCGGAAUUACUGGGCGUAAAGCGCACGUAGGCGGAUACUUAAGUCAGGGGUGAAAUCCCGGGGCUCAACCCCGGAACUGCCUUUGAUACUGGGUAUCUCGAGUCCGGAAGAGGUGAGUGGAAUUCCGAGUGUAGAGGUGAAAUUCGUAGAUAUUCGGAGGAACACCAGUGGCGAAGGCGGCUCACUGGUCCGGUACUGACGCUGAGGUGCGAAAGCGUGGGGAGCAAACAGGAUUAGAUACCCCGGUAGUCCCUGUCUCUUAUAC
rnacentral:rRNA from 1 species